rnacentral:rRNA from 1 species
CGUGUAGGCGGUUGGUCAAGUCGGAUGUGAAAGCCCGGGGCUCAGCUCCGGAAGUGCAUCCGAAACUAGCCAGCUAGAGCGCGAUAGAGGAGGGUGGAAUUCCUGGUGUAGCGGUGAAAUGCGUAGAUAUCAGGAGGAACACCGGCGGCGAAGGCGGCCCUCUGGAUCGUUGCUGACGCUGAGAAGCGAAAGCGUGGGGAGCAAACA